CCUUGUACACACCGCCCGUCAAGCCACGAAAGCUGACAGUACCCGAAGUCGCGUACCCAACCAGCAAUGGAGGGAAGCGCCCACGGUAAGGUCGGUGAUUGGGACU
rnacentral:rRNA from 1 species